CCCUUAGAUGUUCUGGGCUGCACGCGUGUUACAAUCGGGAGUACAACAAGAUUGCAAAUCCUAGUGGAUGAGUGGUUCUUCGAAAUUUUCUGAAGACUGGGAUAGUUGAUUGAAAUUAUUCAACUCAAACGAGGAAUUCCUUGUAAUUGUAAUUCAUUAUAUUGUAAUGAAUACGUCCCUGCCCUUUGUACACACCGCCCGUCGCUCCUACCGAUUGAAGAGUUAGGUGAAUUGUUUUGAUCGAUAAGAUUUGACUAUGGUCAACUCUCGUUGUGAAAUUCUGUGAAUCUGACUGUUUAGAGGAAGGAAAAGUCGUAACA
rnacentral:rRNA from 1 species